rnacentral:rRNA from 1 species
CCCUUAGAUGUUCUGGGCCGCACGCGCGCUACACUGAUGCAUUCAACAAGUAAUUCCUGGUUCGACAGAUUCUGGGUAAUCUUUCCAAUGUGCAUCGUGAUGGGGAUUGACCUUUGGAAUUAUAGGUCAUGAACGAGGAAUUCCUAGUAAGCGUAAGUCAUCAGCUUGCGCUGAUUAAGUCCCUGCCCUUUGUACACACCGCCCGUCGCUCCUACCGAUUUUGAGUGAUCCGAUGAAAUUCUUGGACCGUGUCUUCACAGAUAUGGAAAGUUAAUUAAAUCUUAUCACUUAGAGGAAGGAGAAGUCGUAACA